UAUAAAAAGAAAGUAUUAUGGAUGGAUCGCUAUAUAUUACAAGAUGAUUAAACUAGAACAUAAACUGGUUAUCAAAGAUAAAUCUUAUAAUUAGAUAAAGUGAAUUGAAAUAUCUUAGUAGCUUUAGUAAAAGAAAUCAAACGAGAUUAUUAUUUGGUGUCUGCUAAAUAAUAAGAGCCUAUUAUGAGUAUUUAGUAUAAUAAAAAGUAAAAUAUUUAAAGUUAAUUAACAAAAGAUAUUCUUUUGUUAAGUAGAAAAUUCAAGUAUUAUAGUAAAAUAUAAGAUUAAGCAAUAUAAUAAAAUAUGGUAUAAUUUAGUGAAAACUAAAUUAUAUAUAGUUAUAGUUAUAUGUGUUAAGAUUUUUCUAUUUCAUAUAAAAAUAUUAUAAAUUUAUUAGAAAUAUAUGAUAUAUAAAGUAAAAUGGAAAAAAAUCUGUUUGAAUAAAGGGGAACCUUCCUCUAAGGCUAAAUAAAAUAUAUAAGCGAUAGUGUAAAGUACCGUGAGGGAAAAUCUGAAAUAGUAUUUUUAUAAGCAGCUCGAGUUAAAAUUAAUAAAAAUAAUAAGAGCGUACCUUUUGCAUAAUGGGUCAGCAAGUUAAUUUUAGAUGCAAGCAUAGAAAUUAAAAGAAGUUUAUACUAAAAAUAGUAUAAAGCCUUAAAAGAUAUAUUUAGAAUUAAUAGUAUAAAUAAAAUCUUAAAGGUCUUUUUAUAAGUAUAUGCUUAGAUAAACCAAUUAUGAAAAAAUGAAUAAGUAUCUAGGAUUAGACCCGAAGGCUAGUGAUAUUACCAUGGUCAGGGUUUAAAAAGCCCGAACGGGUUAUCGUUGUAAAGAUAUCCGAUGAACUGUGGUAAGUUAGUGAAAGACAAAACUGACUAGUAUAGCUGGUUUUCCGCGAAACCUAUGUAAGUAGGUAAUUUAAUUAACAUCUUAGCAGGUACAGAACUGUGAUCUCGGACAAUACAAUAUGUAUUUGUCAACAUCGGGGGGUUGUAGCGACUUUACCGGAGAGUAUUUGCACUCGGAAGGGCAAAGAUGAAUAUUAAAUAAUCGGACAUAGUGCGAUAAGGUUGUAUGUCUAAAGGGAAACAGCCCAGAACAAGAGUUAAGGUUCCAAAAUUAUUGUUAAGUGAAAUAAAGGAUGUUUUCUUUUAAAACAAUCAGGAAAUAGGCUUAGAAGCGGCCAUUUUUUGAAGACCUCGUAACAGAGCACUGAUUAAUUUGUUAGGAGAAAAUACCGAAAAUUUAACGGAUCUAAAAUAAUAUACCGAAACCUUGUACACAUAAUAUGUGGGGUAGCGGAACAUUGGAUAAAAAUCAUAUGAUUUACAUUUAUUCUAAAUGUAAAUAAAAAAUAGUGUAGAAAUAAGGUUAUAAUAGUAAAAUAUUAUGUUAUUAUUUAACGAUAAUAGUAUAGUAUUUCUAUUAUUGUAAAGACUAGGAUGUACCUAAGAGAUAGAUAAUUUCGCUUUUAGGAGAAUUUUUUUUAUAAUUAUAUAAUAAUUAUCUUAUUUUAUAAGGUCUAAAAUUAGACCACUAAUCUAUGAAAUUUCCAAGAGAGAAUGCUGACAUGAGUAACGAAAAAGGCUUUUAGCCUCGCCUGAAGCUUAUGGUUUCACCUAAAAUCGGUGUCUAAAAAGAUUAAUCAAAAGAUAAUUUUGAUGACGUUUUAAGAUUUUUUUUAUAAAAUAAUACCAAAACCUUUAACAAGUAAUAAAGGUUCUGGAAAAGUUUAUUUUAAUAUUUGAUUAAUAUAUAUUAAUUCUAUAUACCGUUAUUAUAUUAUAUUUUAAUAUUAUAUAUAAAUGUAAUAAGAUUAUAUGUUUUAAAAUAAUAUUAAAGUUUUAUAGGAUAUAGAUAUAUUAAUAAAUGUAAAUCAAAUAAGAAAAAAAAUCAAAAAAAUAACCGUACCUAGAAACUAACCCAAGUAAGCAAGUAGAGUAUACAAAGGCGUUUGAGUGAACAAUCUUUAAGGAACUCGGCAAAUUGACUCUGUACCUUCGGAAUAAGGAGGGCCAUUACUAUUAAUUUAACAUAAUUUAUUAUGUUAAUUAAAUUAAUAAUAAGAGGAAUCAUAAAAUAAUGUUGUACGACUGUUUAAUAAAAACACAGCACUCUGCAAAGAUAAAAUAUCAAAGUAUUGAGUGUGAUGUCUGCCCGAUGUCGGCUGGGUAACGGAUUUUCCUUGGUUAUUAACUGAGGUUUUGAAGGACACCCCGAUUAAUGGCGGCCUUACCUAUGAGGGUCCUAAGGUAGCGAAAUACCUUGGCCGUUAAAUGCGGUCCUGCAUGAAUGACUUAACGAUGCAACAGCUGUCUCGAUGAUUGUCUCAGUGAAAUUGGAAUAGCAGUGCAGAUACUGUUUACCUCUAGAUAGACGAGAAGACCCUAUGCAGCUUUACUGUUACUAAUUACAAGAGUGUUCAUUUAGGAUGAUUUAUAGUGUAUAAGGUAGUUGUUUAACAACAUUGAAACACCUUUAUUCGUAUCCUAUUAUUUCUCUUGAUGAUUGGAAGGCAGUUUAUGCGGGGCACAGAUCCCACAAAAAGUACCUGGGUAUAUCCAAAGUUCAUAUUGUAAAUUUGUAUAUUUAUAUACAAUUUUUUUAAUUUGUAAUAAUUAUUAUUAUAAUUAUACAGUUAUUAUUCGAUUAAAUUCAACAUUUAUUUUUAUUUUAAGUAAGAUUUUAACUAUAUGGUGAAUAGAUGUAUUUAUAACUUUAAUAUAUAAAAGUUAUUUUGUCAUAAUAUUAUGGUAUUAGUCUAUAUUAUUAUGAUAUUUAUUUAUACUUUAAAAGUUUAAUGGCUAAAUCUUGCUUUACUGUUUGACCUACGAGUCUAUCAGUCGCGUAAGCGGGGCAUAUGAUCACAAGAUGCAUUAAGGAAAGGUCUUGGAUUAUAGAAAAAGUUACGCUA
rnacentral:rRNA from 1 species